GCCACCAUCUGUAGUAUCCUAAACCACGACCAUUUGAUCGUAAGAUACUUGUCCGAAUACCAAGUUUUGGCGAAGCACAAAUUCGAUUAUCAGAGAAGUGAUGGAAUUCCUUAACUGGGAUUGCGGCUUCGAGAUGUUCUUGCAAUGUUCGGAUUCGCCCCGAGUUUCUUCUUCACCACAGAUUCCCUCUGAGGAGACAGAGAUCACAUUAAAUUCGAAGAAGCCGAAAACAAAAAGAAGGUAAUAUUUUACGUACCAUGGCGCGAAUACGGUGACGAUCCUCCUCGCUGAGGACAAACUGCAGCUGCAUGCGGACAUGGCCACAUCCACCGAUGGAGAAAACAUCGUCCCACGACCCCUUCUCGAUAAUCUGCAUUGUCCUGAUUUAAUUAGCUUACCGGAUCGAGCAAUCUCGUCGUCGGCAGCAUCCAGGAGCGCAACGGACAAGUCCUCGUUCAGCUUCGCGAUCGGACUGUAAGAACAUCAUCACUCUCCUGUGUUCAUACGUGCAUUUUUCUUUUUUCUAUCGAAG